AGUGAACGCUGGCGGUAGGCCUAACACAUGCAAGUCGAACGGCAGCACAGUAAGAGCUUGCUCUUACGGGUGGCGAGUGGCGGACGGGUGAGGAAUACAUCGGAAUCUACUUUUUCGUGGUGGAUAGCGUCGGGAAACUUACGCUAAUACCGCAUACGACCUACGGGUGAAAGCAGGGGAUCUUCGGACCUUGCGCGAUUGAAUGAGCCGAUUUCGGAUUAGCUAGUUGGCGGGGUAAAGGCCCACCAAGGCGACGAUCCGUAGCUGGUCUGAGAGGAUGAACAGCCACACUGGAACUGAGACACGGUCCAGAAUCCUACGGGAGGCAGAAGUGGGGAAUAUUGGACAAUGGGCGCAAGACUGAUCCAGCCAUACCGCGUGGGUGAAGAAGGCCUUCGGGUUGUAAAGCCCUUUUGUUGGGAAAGAAAAGCAGCAGGUUAAUACCCCGCUGUUCUGACGGUACCCAAAGAAUAAGCACCGGCUAACUUCGUG
rnacentral:rRNA from 1 species